rnacentral:rRNA from 1 species
GCAUACGCGGUUAUACAAAUAAUGUUAAUUAAUAGUAUUGGUUAAAUGGGAGUUAAUUUAAAUUUUAAUAUAAUUUAAUUUUUUAAUUUUAUGGUGAAAUAAUUAAAUUUUAAUUAAUUUAUUUUUGGAUUCUUUUAAAUUUAAGUUUUAAACUAGGAUUAGAUACCCUAUUAUUUUUUAUGUAAAUUUUUUACCUGGGUAUUAUUAGUUAUGUUCUUUAAACCUAAAGAAUUUGGCGGUAUUUUAAGUCUAUUCAGAGGAAUUUGUCCCGUAAUCGAUAAUCCCCGUUGUAUCUAACUUAUUUUUGUUUAAUUUCAGUUUGUAUACCGCCGUUAUUAAGUUUAUUUUUUAAGAAUUUUAAUUUACUUUAAAUUUUAUUAGAUAAUAUUUCAGUCNAAGGUGGCAG